GGAGGAGGAGCCGUGCAGUCACUGGAGGAGAAGAGAGGCCGAGGAGAUGGCUCCCGGUGAUCGUCUCGAUUUGUGGGUGUGUGAGUUUUGACCAUGGAUGUGAGUUAGAGAGAGAAUCUGUGAACAGGGGGCUGGGUUUUGUCGAGGGCACGGCGGCGGUGCCACUGCUGCCCGGCCACGGCUGGAGAGAGAGAGAGAGGUCGGAGAUCUGAGGGAGAGACGGCGGUGACUAUCGUUGUUGUCGCCGGAAGGUUUGAGAAAGAGCAGAGGGAGGCAGAGCUCCGGUGGCGAUUGUGUUGCUGCCGAGUUGAGUCAGAGAGAGGAGUGUCGCGGUUUGUGAGAGAGACGAACGGGCUGGGAGAAGUCGGAGGCGGCGUCGCCUGAUCUACGGGCGGCGGCCGGAGAAUCGAGAGAGAGGGGCGGACCGGCAGUAGCUUCUCGCUGCUGACUCGCCGGGGUUCCAGAGAGGAAUUGUGGCGGCGCGAUUUGGUUAGGUCGAGUGAGAUGGGGUGGCCGGCGAUCACUCUUCGCCGGAGAAGAGGGCGGCACCGCACCAAUCUCUGGUGUGUGCGUGCGCCGAUGUGUGAGUGUGUGCGUGUGUUUCAGAAUGUGUGUGUGCGUGUGAUUAAAGAAGAAGGGAAGGGUGAUGGGCUUUGAGUGUUGGGCUUAAGAGAAAGGGUUUGGGUUUUGGGCUCUUUUUGUUUUGGGCCGAUUUUAAUUGUAUUAAAUUUCAGUUUGGGCUUCUGAUUAUAUUAAAUCAUGGGCUGCCCAAUUAUUGAUUUAAUUGGAUUGUGCAUAUUUGUUUUAAAGAGCUACACUAUUAUAAUUAAUUAGACUUAUUAAGUUUGAUUAAUUAUUUUUAAUUUUCAUAAUAAUAUUAAAUUAUUAUUAUAAGCAUAUUUUAAGCAAAUUACUUAUUAUAUGCUAAGCAUGACAUGAUUUGCAUUAUAUUUUGCAAUAAGAAUAUUUAUGAUUUAAUUGGUUUUAUUUAUAAUUCCAAUUAUUAAACAAAAAGAUGAGUAAGAAUAUUGUUGGUGUUCUUAACUCAAGAGAAAUGUUUUCAUUUAUUUAUUCAUUAAAUUUUGAAAACCCGGCUAAGUGAAUCAUAGAAUAUUAAGCACUACACCACGACUUAAGAUUAGAUUCAACGAGACCUAUUAAGAAUAGAUUUCUUGUAGGCUUUGAGCAUCAGGAUGAUUAGCACUGCUUUCCGAUUCAGAGAUAAGGUUAAACGACAGGCUUUGCCUAUCCAGGUGGGCUUACUUUCCAAAUGUACAAAGUAUGAUUGAGUUAUUAAGCUCUAAAUGUUUCAAUGAAAUGCAAAUUGUUUAUUUAAUGUAAUGAAAACUGUUUAUCCAAUAAAAUGUUUAUGUGCACUCUGCUCUGUUUAAGGCUCGCGCAGUUAAUCAAUUGAGGUUCUCUUAUGACCUAAUACGUUGUUUGAGAAUUGUGUACACUUGUUAGUUGACUCGGUGGGUUGAUCUCCAUCGGGCUCUAACCAGAGGCGUUAUAAGGGUGCUUGGCUGGAUGUGUUCCGGAGCAUGUAUCAUGUAAGGCUUGCCUGGGUAGCGUCCCGAGGUCAAUUCAACUUGUCUGAGUUACAUCCUCAGGGCAAGUAAGCGGGAGACAGAGAUCCGUCGGUGGCUAGAGGUCCGGGAUCACAGCGAGUAACAGAAAGGGAGUGUGACAUGUGCGCACAAAUGAAAGAAAAUAUUUUAACAUGCUUAGAAGUUAUUUCAAUUUAAAACCUUCUAAGUCAUGUCAAGUAUGAUUGGAUAAACUGUCUUUAUUAAAAUAUAAAAUGUUUCAGAAAAUGCAUGCCCACUAAGUACAUUAGUACUUAGCCCAAAAAUACUUUCAAAUGUUUUCAGGUUGGCUGGCAGGUGAUGACGGGGCGGAGCUGAGGCUAGAGUUCAACUCCUUAUUUUAAUUUCCGCUGCAGAACUAGCCAGUAUCUGUCUUUUGUUCCUUAACUUAAGACCUAUUAUGUUGUGAUUAUGAACAAUAUCUUUUGUUGAGCCUAGACUAUUGACUCUCAAGUAUUUUGAUCAGUGAAUGUUGGUUAUCUGAAACAUGACACUAAACUUGUGAUCCUGAAGUUGUUAUAUUUGUUGAUUGAUUUGUAUCACUUGAAUACAUGUCUUUCUUCAUCCAAAUGGGCUAAGCCCGUUCGUUAUCCCUUUUAUUUGGAUUUCACAAGGAUUUUCCCUUGUUCAUUUAGAUGAUUAGUCGUACCCCAGUUAUAGUUAUUGUUUCAAGAAUUGGGGUGUGACAUAAGAAGUAAAAAAAGAUCAUUUUUCUUUUUUCGUUAGUGUAACGUUUCUGCUUCUUCUUGUUCUUUCUUAAAUCAAAUGGGGUGUUUAAUUAAAUCAGUCUUAGAACGACGACUUUUAUCAUUUUUACGAAAACAAAGAUGUUCCAAUCAGCAUAAGUAAGACAUGUCACUUACACGUCAUCAAAAGUACGGAUAGAAGACUUCACUGUGGGAAAAAUCAGACUCAAUCGAAAGUUGAUGAAUUUUUAAAUAAUUUUUUAAAAUCAUGGGAACAAGAAAACGACUCAAGUUUGUGGAUUUUUACGCUAUUUGUCCUUAUAUAUAGAGUGAGAAUAUUGACAAAAUAUUGCAUAUAAAUAAUAAAUUCGAAAAUGCACGUAUUAUUUUGUAGUAAACUCUAAUUCUGUAGGUUUGGCGCCACAGUAACUACUGUUUGGAUUGGAGUUUUUAUCGUUAAUUAAAUUUUUAAUUUAGAACCUACAAUCCUAUACAUGCAAGUUAAUAUGUAUUUAAUGUUAAAGUUAAGAAGAAACAGUAGUAAGUAGUAUAUAAUAUAUGAAUGUCUAAAUUAAUAUUUAAUACUGAAUUAUAAACAGAAGUUUUUUUAAUAACAAAAUUGUAAAUUAAUACUGAGGUGGCAGUGGGUUUUUACCGCAACACCACAUUUGUUGAAACGAGGAAAAUCGCGCAGAGUUUCUAAUUUUAACAAGUGAAUAAUGAAUAAAUGUUUAUAUUAAGCAUAAAAUCUCUAUUUAUAGGCUACAAGUCAGAUCUAACAUCAAGGCCCACUAAUAAGGCAAUUUGGUUCAAGUUUCUUAAAAACUCAAUGGGAAAAAAAUACCUUAUAGGAAAAGGAGUAUCUAAUUUAUUGCAAGGCUAAUUUAGACUGCAAUUAUUAACUAAGAAAGUUUGGUUCAAGUUUCUUAAAAACUCAAUGGGAAAAAAUUACCUUAUAGGGAAAAGAGUAUCUAAUUUAUUGCAAGGCUAAUUUAGAAAGUGCAAUUAUUAACUAAGAAAGUUGACAUGUACUCCCUUCGUUCCCCAAAUAACUUUCUAGUAAGGGACGCUAUAAAUUCUUAAAAAAAAUUGUUAAGUAUAUUAGUAGUGGAGAAAAGUGUUAUAAUUAAUAUUGAAAGUGGUGAAAAUAUGUUAUAUAUAAUUAGAAUUGAGAAUGAUGAAAGUUGAAAAGUAAGAAUAAAUAAAAUAUUAUAAAUCGUGGGAUAAUGUCCCAAAAUAAAUAGAAGUUAUUUAGGGGACAUUCAAAAAAAAUAUAAAAAGUUAUUUGGGGGAUGGAGGGGGUAUAUAUUAAUGAAUUAAACAAAUUAAAUUGAUAAAGAAAGGGCAAUCUGACUUCCUAGAAUUAAGUUUAAAAAUGACAAUUAACUUCAAAAACUUGCAAGUUGCAUAUAUCUACAAAUUUCUUGGGGGGCGAAACAUGUAUAAAUAGGGUUCAUUCCCACACAUUCUAAUACACCACAACCAAAAUCACAAAAAAGCCUCACACACCAAUCAAACCAUAGAAAUGUCUCCGAACCAAGCUCCCGCCUUGGUCGUGGUGGCUCUCCUCCUCUUGGUUGCUGCGGCCCACGGCCAAGUAACAGGGAUCAUCGUAAACAGCCAACUUUGCUGCACGUCCACCGGAAACUGCCCGCCCGGCGCUACGGGCAUUCCCGGAGUGCUGGUGAACUUAACCUGCACAUCCCCACUGGGCGGCGGAUCAAUCACGGUGGGGCAGGCCGUCACCGGCGUGAACGGAGUGUUAAACAUUAGUGUUCCCAACACAGUUGCUUCGAUAGCCAAAAUCCCCUCCAUUCUCGGCCAAGGCCUACCGUGCUACAUCAUCUUCAACCUUCCGCUCAACCAAACAGUCUGCCCGCUCCUAAACACCGCCACCGGCGUGAUCUUCGGCAUUCCCACUUUUGUUGACACUGUGAUUUCGCCGGUGCUUGGACUCAUUGAGAGAUUCGUGGUGUUGUUGCUUCUCAGGGUCACCCUCUGAGAUCAUCUAUUAAUUAAUCUUCUCCUUAAAUUUUCCUAAUUAAUUAAUACACACUAUAAAUAAGCACGAAGCAAGCAUAUAUAUAUAUAUAUAUAAUAUGCUCUUCUUGUGUGUAUGUGUUGUAACCCUUUGUAUACGUAUAUUAGACUCAAAUAUAAUAUAUAUGGAG
rnacentral:lncRNA from 1 species